rnacentral:tRNA from 1 species
UCCCUGAUGGUCCAGUGGCUAAGACUCCACAUUCCCAAUGCAGGGGGUCCAGGCUCGAUGCCUGGUCAGGGAA